rnacentral:lncRNA from 1 species
CGUCGAGCAUGUCGUGGAAGUAGAAAUGAAGGUAGUCCACUUUCUUCUUGCCUAGGCGUAGGGGCCCUUUCCAAUCCUCACCAUCCUCAAGCCCUGAGCCUCUAAGGUGGCCAAGAGCAACAAGGAGGCUAGCCCUAUGGCUAAUGUGUUUCCUCUCAUCUUAGGAUGGAUUCGCGCCAAAAUCUUGGUUAAACCAAUAACGUCCUCCUAAUUAAGCUAUGGGCUCAUUUAGUGGGCCUAUUCACAAGGGCAUGCUCUUUGUAUAGUAACCUAAUUAGAAGACUUUUCUUGCUUUACGGGUUAGUUAUCUGCAAAGUCUUAGCUGCCAUUAGGUAUAGCACGUUAUGCUUUUGUGAUGUUGACGUUAAUAUAAUGUUUACAAUUUGCCACUUGG